rnacentral:rRNA from 1 species
UACGUAGGGUGCAAGCGUUAAUCGGAAUUACUGGGCGUAAAGCGUGCGCAGGCGGCUUUGCAAGACAGAUGUGAAAUCCCCGGGCUUAACCUGGGAACUGCAUUUGAGACUGCAUGGCUAGAGUGCGGUAGAGGGGGAUGGAAUUCCGCGUGUAGCAGUGAAAUGCGUAGAUAUGCGGAGGAACACCGAUGGCGAAGGCAAUCCCCUGGGCCUGCACUGACGCUCAUGCACGAAAGCGUGGGGAGCAAACAGG